rnacentral:rRNA from 1 species
AUUGAACGCUGGCGGCAGGCUUAACACAUGCAAGUCGAGCGAGCGGCGGAUGGGUGAGUAAUGUCUGGGAAACUGCCUGACGGAGGGGGAUAACUACUGGAAACGGUAGCUAAUACCGCACACCAUCCGAUGUGCCCAGAUGGGUUUAGCUAGUAGGUGGGGUAAUGGCUCACCUAGGCGACGAGCCCUAGCUAGUCUGAGAGGAAGACAAGCCACACUGGAACUGGUAGACGGUCCAGACUCCUACGGGAGGCAGAAGUGGGGAAUAUUUCACAAUGGGCGCAAGCCUGAUGGAGCCAUGCCGCGUGUGUGAAGAAGGCCUUCGGGUUGUAAAGUACUGUCGGCGGGGAGGCGUUACCCGCAGAAGAAGCACCGGCUAACUCCGUGCCAGCAGCCGCGGUAAUUC